AAAGUAAUUAUUAAUUUUAUAGGACCGACCCGAUCCCUUAAUGAAUUCGAUUUGUCAAAUUAUAAAAUGCUGCAUGUAUUGGUGAAAGACAGAGAGACGCAGUUAAUUGCUUU
rnacentral:rRNA from 1 species